rnacentral:rRNA from 1 species
GAUGAACGCUAGCGACAGGCCUAACACAUGCAAGUCGAGGGGCAGCAUAAAGGUAGCAAUACUUUGGUGGCGACCGGCGCACGGGUGAGUAACACGUAUGCAACCUACCUGUAAGUGGGGAAUAACCCGGAGAAAUUCGGACUAACACCGCAUAAUACUGAUUAUCUGCAUGGAUUUAUCAGUUAAAUAUUUAUAGCUUACAGAUGGGCAUGCGUAUGAUUAGCUAGUUGGUAGGGUAACGGCCUACCAAGGCAACGAUCAUUAGGGGUUCUGAGAGGAAGGUCCCCCACAUUGGAACUGAGACACGGUCCAAACUCCUACGGGAGGCAGCAGUGAGGAAUAUUGGUCAAUGGACGAGAGUCUGAACCAGCCAAGUCGCGUGAAG